ensembl:lncRNA
AUUACACACUGUAGACGUUAGAGGUUCUUCGGAGGAUAGGGAAAAAAACGAUUAUGAACUGUUAGACGUUUUGCAAUCCGUGGAAUUCUGAAGUUUAAUUGCAAAUGCAGAGAGAGUCAACAUAUUAACAAAAAGAGGAAGGGUUUCCCUAAUCUCCCCAAAAUAAUGGCAACCGUUGCAUGCGUGACUGAGAGGAUCUACUGAUUCUUAUGGAGGACAUACCACAAUUGUUGUAAAACAGAGCGACAUGACUGAACGUGCCACACAAGUCUAACAAGAAGGAAACGGCAGAGGACUUCAUACAUGGCACUGGGGGCUCCAAUCGGGCGAGAAGCAUUAUUCAUUCAUACAGGAAAAGGUGGGAAAAUUCAGGAUUUUUUGCUGGAAGAGCGGUGGAAUAGAUUUGUACCUCGCUGCAGCGACACGUGCUACAGAGGCAGUGUCCUAGACCUCCGGACCGCCCGUGGACAUGAUUUCAUAUCAUUGUUCACUAGAGACCAUGUGAAGAUGAACAACGUAACUCUCACACAAGUUAUAUCUUUUUUUUAAUUGUAUUUGGUCGAUUGAAGAUCAAUUCUCAAUUUCAGCGAUGACUUGGCUGAAGGCAAACACUUAACACAAAGGAAAUAAAAGAAAUCCCAUGUGAGGAACAGAGCAAGGACGUGUAGUAAACAAACAUUUCAAAACUGAAAGUGAUGAAAGUUGUUGCUGACAAGAAGACAGUAAACAUGCAGAUAACUCCAGCAGUUUUCUGUAUUGUAAGCUACUAGUUUUACAAUAUUUAGUAAAAAAAAAAUUAUUGUACUCUACUUACCCACUGUUUUCAAGAUGGGGGAUGAUUAAAAAUGUGUGAAUUAUGCUAAAUGGGCCUAAACAAAGGCUUCUAGUAUGUAUAAAAGGUUGUUAUCUUUAAGGUGGGGUUACAAGUUAAUUUACUUUCAAAGUAACAUUAUUUUCCUAUUGUUCCUCCAAUUGCAGUGUAUGAUAUACAAUGUUCUAUAGGAAUUAGGGAGUAGUUGUCCAGAGCAAUUUUAAGGACAACCUGGUCUCAUGGACUAGGUGUAUCAUAGUAUACAUAUAUCUGGGACACUCCAUUCAGUAGGACAUGUUACGUGUAGUUUGGCAUUAAGGGGAGCAGUGAUCGCUUGUACAUUUAAGUAGAUAAUUUUUUCGACACUAAAAACGGUAGCUAGUGACUUGUAUUUUUUAAGUAGAUGUCGUGCCACAAAUGUUGUAGAUCUUUAAGUUACCUGCUGCCCUUAUGACUAGUUCCUUAACCUCAAUAAUCUAACCUUAAUGCCCAACUUAGCCUUAAGACUCAACUUGAGACAUAAUGCCAAAAUGUAAAAGUAACCCCAAUUCUAACACUAUUCUUAAACAUAACCUUUAAUCCGGAAUUAUAUAUUUUUUCUAGGGUGGACCGAUUUGUCAGGUUUUACUUUUCUUGGUCUCCACAUGUACAUAGACUUGGAUCAUAAACACAUACACUUGUUUUUCUGUCCACACAAGCACUAAUGCUAAGACGUUUGAGAAAAUGACUCUCUUGCUCCUCUCUGUGGCUUCUAGUACAUUUAGAACGUGAAAUUUAUUUUCCAACUGGAGAAAGAACACUUGUCUACUACCAUUGACUAAAGAUGUAUAUUGUAGAUGUAAUUGUAAAACAAAUAUUAACGGUUCCUGUAUAAGUAAGCAUUCCCUCUCCAGUCUGAAAGGACUGGGAUGUAACUUGGGGUGUUUAUCCUCACACUUCAAGCCAGUUGAAAGACACAGGAGGUAUAUACUGACAUAACAUAUUUUAGCAACCCCACAAUAAGAUAUAUGCUAGCUCUCAAAAUGUACCCCCUUCCAGGGCCAUUGGUGAGGCGGGGGGAAAGGUGGAUAUGAUUCAAGAGGCUCAUGGCUUGGCGGGUUUCAUGUCAGUAGUAGGCUAAUUAUUUGUCACUUGAAUAUUUUAAAAAUAAUGCAGCAACCAUGCAGUAUUGAUCAUAUAAGUAUUCAUCCCUUUUAAUCUAUUUGGUAGAGGCACAUUUGGC